rnacentral:tRNA from 1 species
GCCAGUGUGGUGCAGUGCUUUGAAUGUUGGACUACAACUCUGGAGACCAGGGUCCAAUUCCCAGCUUGGCCA